AUUGAACGCUGGCGGCAGGCUUAACACAUGCAAGUCGAACGAUGAAGAUAUAGCUUGCUAUAUCGGAUUAGUGGCGGACGGGUGAGUAACACUUAGGAAUCUACCUUUUAGCGGGGGAUAGCUCGGGGAAACUCGAAUUAAUACCGCAUAAUUUCUACGGAAUAAAGAGGGCUUUUAGCUCUCACUAGAAGAUGAGCCUAAGUAAGAUUAGCUAGUUGGUGGGGUAAAAGCCUACCAAGGCGACGAUCUUUAGCUGGUCUGAGAGGAUGAUCAGCCACACUGGGACUGAGACACGGCCCAGACUCCUACGGGAGGCAGCAGUGGGGAAUAUUGGACAAUGGGGGCAACCCUGAUCCAGCCAUGCCGCGUGUGUGAAGAAGGCCUUUUGGUUGUAAAGCACUUUAAGCAGUGAAGAAAGACCUAUUGAUUAAUACCCAAUAGCGAUGACAUUAACUGCAGAAUAAGCACCGGCUAACUCUGUGCCAGCAGCCGCGGUAAUACAGAGGGUGCAAGCGUUAAUCGGAAUUACUGGGCGUAAAGCGAGCGUAGGUGGUUAAAUAAGUCAGAUGUGAAAGCCCUGGGCUCAACCUAGGAACGGCAUCUGAAACUAUUUAACUAGAGUAGGUGAGAGGGAAGUAGAAUUUCAGGUGUAGCGGUGAAAUGCGUAGAGAUCUGAAGGAAUACCGAUGGCGAAGGCAGCUUCCUGGCAUCAUACUGACACUGAGGCUCGAAAGCGUGGGUAGCAAACAGGAUUAGAUACCCUGGUAGUCCACGCCGUAAACGAUGUCUACUAGCCGUUGGGGGACUUGAUUCCUUAGUGGCGCAGCUAACGCAAUAAGUAGACCGCCUGGGGAGUACGGGCCGCAAGGUUAAAACUCAAAUGAAUUGACGGGGGCCCGCACAAGCGGUGGAGCAUGUGGUUUAAUUCGAUGCAACGCGAAGAACCUUACCUGGUCUUGACAUACACAGAAUCUUGUAGAGAUACGAGAGUGCCUUCGGGAAUUGUGAUACAGGUGCUGCAUGGCUGUCGUCAGCUCGUGUCGUGAGAUGUUGGGUUAAGUCCCGCAACGAGCGCAACCCUUAUCCUUAGUUGCCAGCACGUAAUGGUGGGGACUCUAAGGAGACUGCCAGUGACAAAUUGGGGGAAGGCGGGGACGACGUCAGUCAUCAUGGCCCUUACGACCAGGGCUACCACGUGCUACAAUGGGAAGUACAAAGGGAAGCAACACAGCGAUGUGAAGCCAAUCUCAAAACGCUUAUCU
rnacentral:rRNA from 1 species